CCUUCGGGAACUCUGACACAGGUGCUGCAUGGCUGUCGUCAGCUCGUGUCGUGAGAUGUUGGGUUAAGUCCCGUAACGAGCGCAACCCUUGUCCUUAGUUACCAGCACGUUAUGGUGGGCACUCUAAGGAGGACUGCCGGUGACAAACCGGAGGAAGGUGGGGAUGACGUCAAGUCAUCAUGGCCUUACGGCCUGGGCUACACACGUGCUACAAUGGUCGGUACAAAGGGUUGCCAAGCCGCGAGGUGGAGCUAAUCCCAUAAAACCGAUCGUAGUCCGGAUCGCAGUCUGCAACUCGACUGCGUGAAGUCGGAAUCGCUAGUAAUCGUGAAUCAGAAUGUCACGGUGAAUACGUUCCCGGGCCUU
rnacentral:rRNA from 1 species